AUUGAACGCUGGCGGCAGGCCUAACACAUGCAAGUCGAACGAGUGGCGGCCGGGUGAGUAAUGUCUGGGAAACUGCCUGAUGGAGGGGGAUAACUACUGGAAACGGUAGCUAAUACCGCAUACCAUCGGAUGUGCCCAGAUGGGAUUAGCUAGUAGGUGGGGUAAAGGCUCACCUAAGCGACGAUCCCUAGCUGGUCUGAGCGGAUGACCCGCCCAACUGGAACCUAGGCAACGUUCCGGCUCCCUCUGGAGUGAGGAGUGGGAAAUAUUGCAAAAUGGGCGAAGCCCUAAGCCACCUUGGCGGGGUUAAUAAAAAAGCCUUCGGGUUUUAAAAGUACUUCCGGCGGGAAGCCGUUCCCGGCGGAGAAGCACCGGCUAACUCCGUGCCAGCAGCCGCGGUAAUAC
rnacentral:rRNA from 1 species